ACGAACGCUGGCGGCGUGCUUAACACAUGCCAGUCGAACGGAAAGGCCCUGCUUUUGUGGGGUGCUCGCGUGGCGAACGGGUGAGUAACACGUGAGUAACCUGCCCUUGACUUUGGGAUAACUUCAGGAAACUGGGGCUAAUACCGGAUAGGAGCUCCUGCUGCAUGGUGGGGGUUGGAAAGUUUCGGCGGUUGGGGAUGGACUCGCGGCUUAUCAGCUUGUUGGUGGGGUAGUGGCUUACCAAGGCUUUGACGGGUAGCCGGCCUGAGAGGGUGACAGGCCACAUUGGGACGGAGAUACGGCCCAGACUACUACGGGAGGCAGCAGUGGGGAAUAUUGCACAAUGGGCGGAAGCCUGAUGCAGCAACGCCGCGUGCGGGAUGACGGCCUUCGGGUUGUAACCCGCUUUCGCCUGUGACGAAGCGUGAGUGACGGUAAUGGGUAAAGAAGCACCGGCUAACUACGUG
rnacentral:rRNA from 1 species